rnacentral:lncRNA from 1 species
AAUUAAUGUAGCCUAAAACAGGUCUUUUGAUUCCUAUACUUACAACUUUGUUUCUAUAUUUCACCUUUUAAGUCGUCUUCUUUGAAUGUUACUCAAAUGAUUCCAGAUCCCUCUAAAAGUCCUUACCUAUGGUAAGACAUUUUUGGGCAGUUUUAGCCCCAAAUAAUUUACCUUGUAAAAUUAUAUUUAUUUUUGUUUCUAUUAAUGUAACAAAUUAUAUACUGUAUGAGAACAUUUUAAUGGUUAUUUUGUGGUACAUAUGUAUAGAGUCUUCAAUGUUUGUAUAUAAGUGCUAUGAUCUGAAAGUUUGUGUCCCCCCAGAAUUUACGUAUUGAAACCUAAUAUGAUGGUAUUAAAAGAUGGAACCUUUGGGAGGCGAUUAGGUCAUGUGUGUAGGACGAUUAUGAAUGGGAUUAACGCCCUUAUAAAAGAGACUCCAGAGAACUAGCUUGAACUUUUCAUGUGAGGAAACAGCAAGAAGGUACCAUCUUUAAACCAAAACAGGAAAGGGGCCUUCACCAGAAACAAAACUUGCUGGUGCCUUUAUCUUGGACUUUCCAGCCUCCAAAACUGUGACAAGUAAAUUUCUGUUUAUGAGUUACCAAGUCUAUGAUAUUUUGUUACAGCAGUUUAAACAAACUAGGACAAUUUAUGUAUAUCUAUUCAAUGUCAUGGUAAGUUUUUUGAAAGUCAAGAGCUCAUCACUAUAUAUUUGGUAUAUUUACUUAGUGCCCAGCAUAUUUUUGUGUCAUGAUAUGUGUACAGAAACAUUGAAAGAAUAAUGCAAUAACCAUUGAAACAAGGAUGGAAUUACAAAAAAAAAAAAAGAGAAAGAGCUCUGUGAAGACAAGUUCCAGACUCUUUUGCAUAUAUUACUUAAGG